rnacentral:rRNA from 1 species
AGAGUUUGAUCCUGGCUCAGGAUGAACGCUGGCGGCGUGCUUAACACAUGCAAGUCGAACGGGAAAUAUUUCAUUGAGACUUCGGUGGAUUUGAUCUAUUUCUAGUGGCGGACGGGUGAGUAACGCGUGGGUAACCUGCCUUAUACAGGGGGAUAACAGUCAGAAAUGGCUGCUAAUACCGCAUAAGCGCACAGAGCUGCAUGGCUCAGUGUGAAAAACUCCGGUGGUAUAAGAUGGACCCGCGUUGGAUUAGCUGGUUGGUGGGGUAACGGCCCACCAAGGCGACGAUCCAUAGCCGGCCUGAGAGGGUGAACGGCCACAUUGGGACUGAGACACGGCCCAGACUCCUACGGGAGGCAGCAGUGGGGAAUAUUGCACAAUGGGGGAAACCCUGAUGCAGCGACGCCGCGUGAAGGAAGAAGUAUCUCGGUAUGUAAACUUCUAUCAGCAGGGAAGAUAGUGACGGUACCUGACUAAGAAGCCCCGGCUAACUACGUGCCAGCAGCCGCGGU